UACAGAGGAGCCAAGCGUUGUCCGGAUUGACUGGGCGUAAAGCGCACGCAGGCGGUUUGGCGCGUGGGGUGUGAAAUCUGGCCGCUUAACGGCCAGGCGCCAUCCCAUACGGCUAAACUGGAGUGAUGCAGAGGUCGGUGGAAUUGCCGGUGUAGUGGUGAAAUGCGUAGAUAUCGAGAGGAACACCUGCGGCGAAGGCGGGUUGCUGGGCUGACACUGACGCUGAAGCGCGAAAGCUAGGGGAGCGAACGGG
rnacentral:rRNA from 1 species